rnacentral:rRNA from 1 species
GAUUAAGUUAUUAAGGGCGCACGGUGGAUGCCUUGGCACUAGAAGCCGAUGAAGGACGUUACUAACGACGAUAUGCUUUGGGGAGCUGUAAGUAAGCUUUGAUCCAGAGAUUUCCGAAUGGGGAAACCCAGCAUGAGUUAUGUCAUGUUAUCGAUAUGUGAAUACAUAGCAUAUCAGAAGGCACACCCGGAGAACUGAAACAUCUUAGUACCCGGAGGAAGAGAAAGAAAAUUCGAUUCCCUUAGUAGCGGCGAGCGAAACGGGAAGAGCCCAAACCAACAAGCUUGCUUGUUGGGGUUGUAGGACACUCUAUACGGAGUUACAAAGGACGACAUUAGACGAAUCAUCUGGAAAGAUGAAUCAAAGAAGGUAAUAAUCCUGUAGUCGAAAAUGUUGUCUCUCUUGAGUGGAUCCUGAGUACGACGGAGCACGUGAAAUUCCGUCGGAAUCUGGGAGGACCAUCUCCUAAGGCUAAAUACUCUCUAGUGACCGAUAGUGAACCAGUACCGUGAGGGAAAGGUGAAAAGCACCCCGGAAGGGGAGUGAAAUAGAACCUGAAACCGUGUGCUUACAAGUAGUCAGAGCCCGUUAAUGGGUGAUGGCGUGCCUUUUGUAGAAUGAACCGGCGAGUUACGAUUUGAUGCAAGGUUAAGCAGUAAAUGUGGAGCCGUAGCGAAAGCGAGUCUGAAUAGGGCGUUUAGUAUUUGGUCGUAGACCCGAAACCAGGUGAUCUACCCUUGGUCAGGUUGAAGUUCAGGUAACACUGAAUGGAGGACCGAACCGACUUACGUUGAAAAGUGAGCGGAUGAACUGAGGGUAGCGGAGAAAUUCCAAUCGAACCUGGAGAUAGCUGGUUCUCUCCGAAAUAGCUUUAGGGCUAGCCUCAAGUGAUGAUUAUUGGAGGUAGAGCACUGUUUGGACGAGGGGCCCCUCUCGGGUUACCGAAUUCAGACAAACUCCGAAUGCCAAUUAAUUUAACUUGGGAGUCAGAACAUGGGUGAUAAGGUCCGUGUUCGAAAGGGAAACAGCCCAGACCACCAGCUAAGGUCCCAAAAUAUAUGUUAAGUGGAAAAGGAUGUGGCGUUGCCCAGACAACUAGGAUGUUGGCUUAGAAGCAGCCAUCAUUUAAAGAGUGCGUAAUAGCUCACUAGUCGAGUGACACUGCGCCGAAAAUGUACCGGGGCUAAACAUAUUACCGAAGCUGUGGAUUGUCCUUUGGACAAUGGUAGGAGAGCGUUCUAAGGGCGUUGAAGCAUGAUCGUAAGGACAUGUGGAGCGCUUAGAAGUGAGAAUGCCGGUGUGAGUAGCGAAAGAGGGUGAGAAUCCCGUCCACCGAUUGACUAAGGUUUCCAGAGGAAGGCUCGUCCGCUCUGGGUUAGUCGGGUCCUAAGCUGAGGCCGACAGGCGUAGGCGAUGGAUAACAGGUUGAUAUUCCUGUACCACCUAUAAUCGUUUUAAUCGAUGGGGGGACGCAGUAGGAUAGGCGAAGCGUGCGAUUGGAUUGCACGUCUAAGCAGUAAGGCUGAGUAUUAGGCAAAUCCGGUACUCGUUAAGGCUGAGCUGUGAUGGGGAGAAGACAUUGUGUCUUCGAGUCGUUGAUUUCACACUGCCGAGAAAAGCCUCUAGAUAGAAAAUAGGUGCCCGUACCGCAAACCGACACAGGUAGUCAAGAUGAGAAUUCUAAGGUGAGCGAGCGAACUCUCGUUAAGGAACUCGGCAAAAUGACCCCGUAACUUCGGGAGAAGGGGUGCUCUUUAGGGUUAACGCCCAGAAGAGCCGCAGUGAAUAGGCCCAAGCGACUGUUUAUCAAAAACACAGGUCUCUGCUAAACCGUAAGGUGAUGUAUAGGGGCUGACGCCUGCCCGGUGCUGGAAGGUUAAGAGGAGUGGUUAGCUUCUGCGAAGCUACGAAUCGAAGCCCCAGUAAACGGCGGCCGUAACUAUAACGGUCCUAAGGUAGCGAAAUUCCUUGUCGGGUAAGUUCCGACCCGCACGAAAGGCGUAACGAUUUGGGCACUGUCUCAACGAGAGACUCGGUGAAAUCAUAGUACCUGUGAAGAUGCAGGUUACCCGCGACAGGACGGAAAGACCCCGUGGAGCUUUACUGUAGCCUGAUAUUGAAAUUCGGCACAGCUUGUACAGGAUAGGUAGGAGCCUUUGAAACGUGAGCGCUAGCUUACGUGGAGGCGCUGGUGGGAUACUACCCUAGCUGUGUUGGCUUUCUAACCCGCACCACUUAUCGUGGUGGGAGACAGUGUCAGGCGGGCAGUUUGACUGGGGCGGUCGCCUCCUAAAAGGUAACGGAGGCGCUCAAAGGUUCCCUCAGAAUGGUUGGAAAUCAUUCAUAGAGUGUAAAGGCAUAAGGGAGCUUGACUGCGAGACCUACAAGUCGAGCAGGGUCGAAAGACGGACUUAGUGAUCCGGUGGUUCCGCAUGGAAGGGCCAUCGCUCAACGGAUAAAAGCUACCCCGGGGAUAACAGGCUUAUCUCCCCCAAGAGUUCACAUCGACGGGGAGGUUUGGCACCUCGAUGUCGGCUCAUCGCAUCCUGGGGCUGUAGUCGGUCCCAAGGGUUGGGCUGUUCGCCCAUUAAAGCGGUACGCGAGCUGGGUUCAGAACGUCGUGAGACAGUUCGGUCCCUAUCCGUCGUGGGCGUAGGAAAUUUGAGAGGAGCUGUCCUUAGUACGAGAGGACCGGGAUGGACAUACCUCUGGUGUACCAGUUGUCGUGCCAACGGCAUAGCUGGGUAGCUAUGUGUGGACGGGAUAAGUGCUGAAAGCAUCUAAGCAUGAAGCCCCCCUCAAGAUGAGAUUUCCCAACUUCGGUUAUAAGAUCCCUCAAAGAUGAUGAGGUUAAUAGGUUCGAGGUGGAAGCAUGGUGACAUGUGGAGCUGACGAAUACUAAUCGAUCGAAGACUUAAUCAA